UCAAAUACUGAUUUCAUCUCAGGGUAGUUUUAUUUGAAUUUGUUGUUCUUCAUCUAACACCUCUCUUUACAGAUCAUCUCAGAUCUCAAGGCUCAGUGAGAACAUUGCAGUUCAUUUUAUUUCUUUACAUUCAACAAAUCCAUAAGAUCUCAUUUAAAGCGUCACUGGUAUCAGGAGGAGAGGAAUGGCCAACACGUUCACGUUCUCCUGACCUAGAGAACAAGGGCUCUGUUGCAGUGAAGAGUCUUGAUGAGCAUGAUCACAUGAUGUUUGUGCUGCACCAUUUAAAUGACAUUUUAGAACUCUUAAUGGAACCAGAAUCCAGUGCAAGCGGCAGUGGUAGUGAAGCCUGCCUUACUGUUGAAGCUCUUGAUGCUCUUGGAUUUCUCA